rnacentral:rRNA from 1 species
UACGUAGGGUGCGAGCGUUGUCCGGAAUUAUUGGGCGUAAAGAGCUCGUAGGCGGUCUGUCGCGUCGAUCGUGAAAACUUGGGGCUUAACCCUGAGCUUGCGGUCGAUACGGGCAUGACUGGAGUUCGGCAGGGGAGACUGGAAUUCCUGGUGUAGCAGUGAAAUGCGUAGAUAUCAGGAGGAACACCGAUGGCGAAGGCAGGUCUCUGGGCUGACACUGACGCUCAUGCACGAAAGCGUGGGGAGCAAACAGG